UCACAUUAACGUAAUGGGUCCCUCUAUUGCAUUCAUCAUAUCACUCUGCAUGCUCUUGUCCGUAACAGUUCAAAACCCUUUAAAUAACAGGAUUUUAAUGAUGAGAUCAAGGCCAGGAAGAACAGCCAGAAGUACCGGUCUUUUAGGAGAGUUUGAAAUGAUGAAUGCUCUCGCGGAAUUUAUGAACUCAAAUCUAGCACAUGGAUUGAAUAUAUCUUAUUACGGGAAAUGAGGUACAAAACAGUUCUCUCAAGGAUCGCCAUGCAACGACCAAGAAAUCGGACGAAAAAUUUGUACAUAGACAUCAAAAUUUUAAAAAUAAAUAAUUACCGCUGAA